GAUCCUGGCUCAGGAUGAACGCUAGCUACAGGCUUAACACAUGCAAGUCGAGGGGCAGCAUGUCGGUUGCUUGCAACCGAUGAUGGCGACCGGCGCACGGGUGAGUAACGCGUAUCCAACCUACCCUUGUCCAUCGGAUAACCCGUCGAAAGGCGGCCUAACACGAUAUGCGGUUCACAGCAGGCAUCUAAGGUGAACGAAAUGUGAAGGAGAAGGAUGGGGAUGCGU
rnacentral:rRNA from 1 species